rnacentral:rRNA from 1 species
UCAACCUUGCGGCCGUACUCCCCAGGCGGUCAACUUCACGCGUUAGCUUCGUUACUUGAGUCAGUGAAGACCCAACAACCAGUUGACAUCGUUUAGGGCGUGGACUACCCGGGUAUCUAAUCCUGUUUGCUCCCCACGCUUUCGUGCAUGAGCGUCAGUACAGGUCCAGGGGAUUGCCUUCGCCAUCGGUGUUCCUCCGCAUAUCUACGCAUUUCACUGCUACACGCGGAAUUCCAUCCCCCUCUACCGUACUCUAGCUAUGCAGUCACAAAUGCAGGUCCCAGGUUGAGCCCGGGGAUUUCACAUCUGUCUUACAUAACCGCCUGCGCACGCUUUACGCCCAGUAAUUCCGAUUAACGCUCGCACCCUACGUAUUACCGCGGCUGCUGGCACGUAGUUAGCCGGUGCUUAUUCUUACGGUACCGUCAUUAGCCCCUUGUAUUAGAAAGGACCGUUUCGUUCCGUACAAAAGCAGUUUACAACCCGAAGGCCUUCAUCCUGCACGCGGCAUUGCUGGAUCAGGCUUGCGCCCAUUGUCCAAAAUUCCCCA